UUGGAAUUUAAAUAAUCUAUCUCUUUAUAAUUACCUUUUUUAAUCAAACGGAACACAUACUAUAGGAGAUGUGGGAUAUGUUUCAAUUUGACAGCAACCAAACGACAAAAAAUCAUAAAUGAAUCAAGAGCGCAUGUUUAGUCUUCAACAAGAAACAGGUGUCUACACAAAAGGUCUGACAGCGUGAAAGACCAAAACCACACUAUUAUAAGUCAUGGUAUUCGAAAGCAGGAGAUUAGUACUCUAUCAGACAAAACUGCAAUCACGUUUACCAAAUACUUAACCAACGCACCACAAACUAAUGCCUGCACCAAGUUAACGUAUAAUUGUGAUAUGAAGAGAUGGCAGAUACCCACAACCAACUUGGAACCACCACCAGACAGAAGGACAAAUAAGCAUUUAGAGGGCUGGCACCCCAUAUGGAAUUUACUGACCCCAUAUAUACCGUAUUAGGUCACUAGCACACUGUGUAACUAAUAAUAUUCAGUAUGGUGAUGCAGCAUCUUACAUCCUCUAACUUGGAAACUAAAUGAACAUUGAACAUUCAUAUGUGUAUAUCAGUGCCUUGUACUUGUAUGAUAUUUGUCUUUAUUUAUUCAUUAAAAUAUAAAUCUCUAAUAAGACUUUAUUUACAAAAUAUAACACAUGAGUAAAAAAAAAACACUUUCAGAAAAAAAAGAGUAACUAUAAAAAGUGCGACCCCAAAAAUUAAAAAAAAAUAUCUUUCCUUUAAAAAGUAUUUCAUGGUAGAAUUUGACAUCAAAAUGGGUUAAAAUAACAAAUAUCAACUUAUUGCAAUACUAACAAAACUUAACUUAAUUACAUUGUUUACAGAAGCUCCCAUUUCACCUUAGUUAAUUCUUGUGUACCUAAAAAUUUGUACUAAGGCAAACUGGGAUUAAUUAUAUAUAUAUAUUUUGACAACUAAGGCGAAAUGAGAAUAAGCCGUUCACACAGUGUUUUCACAAACCGGUAAUUUCUUCGCCCAGGGAUAUGAAUUUGACAUUAAAAGUCCCUCAAUAGCUUUACAAUACCCGGCCGUGUCAUUGCCGUAUAUUGUAGAUGGAACGUGUAAUAUAUGUUCCAGACCGUAUGAGUAUUUGGGCC
rnacentral:lncRNA from 1 species